GACGAACGCUGGCGGCGUGCUUAACACAUGCAAGUCGAACGGAAAGGCCCUGCUUUUGUGGGGUGCUCGAGUGGCGAACGGGUGAGUAACACGUGAGUAACCUGCCCUUGACUUUGGGAUAACUUCAGGAAACUGGGGCUAAUACCGGAUAGGAGCUCCUGCUGCAUGGUGGGGGUUGGAAAGUUUCGGCGGUUGGGGAUGGACUCGCGGCUUAUCAGCUUGUUGGUGGGGUAGUGGCUUACCAAGGCUUUGACGGGUAGCCGGCCUGAGAGGGUGACCGGCCACAGUGGGAGUGAGGUACCGCCCAGACUCCUACGGGAGGGAACAGUGGGGAAUAUUGCACAAUGGGCGGAAGCCUGAUGCAACAACGCCGCGUGGGGGAUUACGGCCUUCGGGUUGUAAACCGCUUUCGCCUGUGACGAAGCGGGAGUGACGGUAAUGGGUAAAGAAGCACCGGCUAACUACGUG
rnacentral:rRNA from 1 species